AGACUGGGAUAACUUCGGGAAACCGGAGCUAAUACCGGAUAACAUUUGGAACCGCAUGGUUCUAAAGUGAAAGAUGGUUUUGCUAUCACUUAUAGAUGGACCCGCGCCGUAUUAGCUAGUUGGUAAGGUAACGGCUUACCAAGGCAACGAUACGUAGCCGACCUGAGAGGGUGAUCGGCCACACUGGAACUGAGACACGGUCCAGACUCCUACGGGAGGCAGCAGUAGGGAAUCUUCCGCAAUGGGCGAAAGCCUGACGGAGCAACGCCGCGUGAGUGAUGAAGGGUUUCGGCUCGUAAAACUCUGUUAUUAGGGAAGAACAAAUGUGUAAGUAACUGUGCACAUCUUGACGGUACCUAAUCAGAAAGCCACGGCUAACUACGUGCCAGCAGCCGCGGUAAUACGUAGGUGGCAAGCGUUAUCCGGAAUUAUUGGGCGUAAAGCGCGCGUAGGCGGUUUCUUAAGUCUGAUGUGAAAGCCCACGGCUCAACCGUGGAGGGUCAUUGGAAACUGGGAAACUUGAGUGCAGAAGAGGAAAGUGGAAUUCCAUGUGUAGCGGUGAAAUGCGCAGAGAUAUGGAGGAACACCAGUGGCGAAGGCGACUUUCUGGUCUGUAACUGACGCUGAUGUGCGAAAGCGUGGGGAUCAAACAGGAUUAGAUACCCUGGUAGUCCACGCCGUAAACGAUGAGUGCUAAGUGUUAGGGGGGUUUCCGCCCCUUAGUGCUGCAGCUAACGCAUUAAGCACUCCGCCUGGGGGAGUACGACCGCAAGGUUGAAACUCAAAGGAAUUGACGGGGACCSGCACAAGCGGUGGAGCAUGUGGUUUAAUUCGAAGCAACGCGAAGAACCCUUACCMAAUCUUGACAUCCUUUGAAAACUCUAAGAAGAAUAGAGCCUUCCCCCUUUCGGGGGGGRACAAAGGUGACARGUGRUGCAUUGGAUUGUCGUCCMAGCUUCGUGUCGUGGAGAUGUUGGGGRUWAAGUCCCGCAACGAGCGCA
rnacentral:rRNA from 1 species